GCCACUGUCACAGAGAGAAAGUGUCAUUUACAUAUGAAUUUCCAUGAAAAAAUACAUCAGUUUAGCUUCUUAAGAUGCAGAUUCUAUUAUCCAAUUAUCUUCUCAGUUUUUCUCACAGAUAUUCUUAAGGAACUUAAACCCUACCAUAACUGGAAAAAUAUAUAAGCCAUCUAUUAGUAAGUAUACAAUUCUGCUCCCCUCCCCUCCCCCCAAAAAAAGAGAGAAAAAAGAGAAAAUAAGGUUUACAUUUUUAUGUUACAAAGGAAUUUCAGUUUUUCAUCAAUACGGAUAUUUACAUGAUAGCAUGGAAUCAGAAAAUAAAAAAUCAAGCCAAAGCAAAACAAGAAGAAAAGCCAAAUUAAUGUUAAAGGUAAAAAUUAUAAUACUAUUACAUAUGAAGUAGAAAAUAAAAUUGAUGGGCAGACAAAUGCUGAUUCUGCAGCAAAUACAAAGACUUCUAAAGGAUUCACUUCAAUUGAGCAUGUUAAUCAUGACAAUAAUAACAGCAUCAUCUGGAGGCAAAAUUCUAGGAAUCAGUAGUUAGAAGUAAGGACCUCAAAUCAACCAGACAUCAUCAUGAGGACCCUUUUCCCCUUCUACUAUUUUUAAUGAAGGAAUGAGUGAAAGAGGUGGUAAUCUCUCCGGGUAAAAAAUUCAGGGCACAAAGACUCUUAGCAUGAAAUGUUGGAAGUUCCUAGACACUUCCUACCCUUGCUCAUUUUGUCACCCUCAGUCUGUCCAUACUCACAAACGAUCAGACAAUGCUUAAGCACCUACCAAUUAACUUACAAAUUACUAUAGACUAGUGCUGUGAAUUAUAACUAUUAUUUGAGAUCUAUAGAUAUUAAUAAACAGGACUAAACCACAGAGUUAAAAAAAAAACUCAGCUUUCCAAAGGUAAUACAUUUUUUUAAAUGUCAAUACACUCAGAGUAAAUAUUAAAUGAAAAAGCAUAAUAAAAUACUCAUUUUUCUUACCCCAAGUUAAAUUUUAAGACAUAGGAAAUACACAUGUUACUUUGAUAACUAUGAUACCCAUCUGUGACAUAUAAUUUUUGUCAUAUAACAAACUAAAUAAUAAUAUUGUUUGACAAAACUACCAAAUUUAUGUUGUAGCAUAAAAGUGGUAGUUGAUGUAAUAAUGACAGUAUCCAUAAACAAAGGCAACUAAUCUACCUUAUAUGGGAGAUCUCAAUGUACUUCGUGACCUUGAUCUUUACAUUGUGAAAAAUCAACAGAGGAUUAAUUCUUAAGAACUCUCAGCAAAAUAGAACCCUUUGGUUUCCCAAACAGCAUGUAUAAAAGUGGUAAUGGGGUAUCAUAUCGCUAAUGUCCAGGAGGCAGCUCUCUCUACCUCUCUCUUAGCUCACUCUCUUGUUAGAACUUGGCAUGGUUGGAAUUCACCACAACAUUAUUAUCUUUCUUCCUGGUAUUCCCAGGAAAAAAAGUAAACUUUUCUUCCCCAUUCUGUCUCUCUUGACCAUGACAAAUUCAAUUUGGAUAAACCAUUGUCUUGUCUUUACUUUAUCUGAUACUGUUAUCAUCGAUUGUGGCAGCAAGAAGGAGGAUGCAGAUAUGGUUGAAGUUGAUGGGAAAUGGAAGCACUAUUUACUGCUUUAUUUAACCCACUCAGUCAGGAUUUUAAUCACCAUAGUAUAGAAUACCAGCAGUGCACAUGGCACUUUAAUAUAUGCUGAAUAAUUAGAGGUAUCUGCCUUAUUAUUUGCUUAAUAUGGCCACUUCAUAGUAUUCAACUGACUUAAUGCGACAACUAAACUUGUAGGUUUUUGUUUCUUGUCAAUACCACAGAUUCCACCUUUCCGCCCUGUUAAGGUUAGGAAUUAUAAACCAAGAAAUUAAGCAACUAUGAAAACCAGAGAAGAAAAGUGGAUUUGAAGUCUGGAAAUCUGGUUUUGUGUGUAGACUCAAAAAACGUUAGUCAUUUACUAUCUUCAAACCCUAGGCAAAUAACUGCAUUGUAAACUACCAUUCUUCUUUUUUAUAAAUGUUUUACAGGCUUGUUGUGAAGACCACAUUAACUAAUGUAAAAGCAAAUAUAAGUAUAGAGCACUACUGCUAUAGCUAUCUGAAAGGAAAUGAUAUAUACAUGAAUAUUUUUUGAAAUGUGCUACCAGGAGAAACUUCCAUAACCUUCUCCAACCAAUACUGAAGACUAUUGGAUUAGGCUAGCCACCCAUCAAACAAUUUGGGUUCUACUAACUGUCAAACAUAUUUUGAGAAAGAAUUCCUUUACACUUCCGCGAAUACACUAUAAACAGAUCCGUGGCAGCAAUUACUUCGAUAAUGCUUACAUCCUUGGAAAGAGAAAAAGAUGAAGGUUUUUAGGCGCUACUACCUGCCUCCUCUCCACCAUUCAAAAGGAUGUCCUCUGUCUCUUGAACUAGCCCUAGGCAGAUGUGUUUAAUUACAAAAUGAUUCAAGUCUUAUCAAUCUUUCAAGGCUAAAAAACUGUCACUGAAAAUUCAGUCAAAAGGUUUUUGUUCUGUUAUUAAAACUACACUACAUAUACGUGUAUAUACACAUUGGCUAUUUGCUAUCCCUUAUCAUCUAUCCUAGACCAUUUAGUUGAAGUGAAUAGUGAAAUAGAGAUGCUGCAACUUAUAAACCAUUACAAAAUUUGUAUAAUGUUCUGUAUAUAUAAUAUAUUGGUUUCGCAGAAACUUCAUUAGUGAAUAAAAGCAUGAUACAAUUAAUUAAACAUAUUCUAUACGCUAUUGAGUCCAUACUGUAUUCAAAGAAAAAGAGAAAAUAAGUAUUUUCUCUUCUACUCCAACUCUACUCUUAAAAAGUUACAAAAUUAUUUCAUAAAUCAUGAACUAAAUAUAGCUGAGUGGAUUAAGGUGUCUUAAGUGAAUGGCCUUGAAUUGCCACUGUUUAACUCAUACCAAGAACAAAGUGAUUAAAGUCUAAUAUUUCAGGGGUAAAUAAUGAUCACCAAAAAUUGAGCCAAAAGAUUUUUGUUCCAUUACUAAAACCACAUUAUAAAAGAAAUCAGUGUUCAGUGUUCAAUACCAGAUCCUUGUCACAAGAAAUCAGAACUAAAUUCAGGAAGCAUGAUAAGGCUAGUAUUUUACAAAUGACAGAAAGCCAAAUUUUCUGUAACCCAAUAAAGGCACUGAAGUAUAUAUACAGCACAGUAAGAUAUAAUUAAGUUUGGCAAUGCCUAAUCAUGGCUUCAUUUCUAAGUUUGAUGUGUUAAUGUUUUAGUCUCAGAACUGCACUUUCUAAUUCAAAGUGCAUUUAAAGAACAAAGGUUUUGCUGCUAGUUUAAGGAAGUCAAUCUUACAUGAUGGUCAAUUAUUCUUGCCAAUUCUUCAUCAGCUCUGGUGAAGAAAUCCGGAUAAGAAAACAUGGGAAGUUCUGAUAAAGAAGGAUGUUCCCUUCAAAAGAGCACAAGAACAAUAUUAGGUAUAGAUAGUUCUCCUUCCAGGAAUAUAUGGAUUUUCAAGUCAUAAUUCAUUACACAGCAUUUUGACUCUACAUUGUUAACAUCAAGUACUUAUUCUUUGUAGACUACUAUCUAUAGCUUUUAGUUUCUAUAAAUAAUGUUGGGUUACCUAAACUGACAUUUUAGAAGGUAGAGAAUGAUAUAUAGUAUCAGAACUAGAAAAUAAUAAAAAGGUAAUCUUUGGGAUGCUUGGGUACUCAUUCAUACUUUUGGCUUUGGCUAAGGUCACAAUUUCAUAGUUCAUGAGUUCAAACCCCACACAGUGUGGAGCCUGCUUGGGAUUCUCUCUUUCCCUCUCUCUCUGCCCCUUCCCAGCUCAUGCUUGCAUUCAUUCAUUCUCUCUCUCUCUCUCUCUCUCUCUCUCUCUCUCUCACCCCCCCACCCCCAAAAUAAAUUUUUUAAAAAAGUUAUCUUCUCCUAGGAGGUAUAUUCAGUAGCACAGGAGAUGAUAGGAAAUGAAGGGUUUAAGGAAGCAUGACAUAAAUUUUGUCCAAUGGGGAGAUUAAAGUUCCCAUAGCCAUACAUAACCCCAUGACCCUGGAAAGUCUGGUGAAAGUCUAAGCCUAAGAAUUUGAUCUAAGAUAUACUAAAAAAAAAGCAAAAAAUGCUGUGAUUUCAGUACUUCUCCAAGGUCUUUGUAGUACUAAGGGUGCAACUAUGGCAAACAGUUUACAAACAGUUCAAUAGAAAUGUUGGCAGUGCAAACCUAGGCUCUAAACUAGUGGAGACUUAGUGUUAAAUUGUCCACAUAAUAGUUGCAUUAUGUUACAAUUAUUAUGAAGAAAUUGUUGUGAAUCCAGAAAUACGUAAAGCAACAAAAUGGUUGUAGAGAAUAUGGUUUUAGAGGAGAGAAAGUGGGUUUAAGGAAAAGCUCUUAGGCAAGAAGCUAAGGAGAGACAUAGCCCAUGAACAUUUUCCAUAUUCAGAAAAGUCUGAUCACUUUUUAAGACAGCAAUGUCUAGUGUAAUUUUUGCAAUUUCCUGUCUAUCCAGCAAAUUUUAGUGAGCUUUGUACAUUUGACAUCCUAUGUUUCCCUCAUAUCACUAGGUCCUCUUGCUUUAUGCGGCACUAAAUGCUUCUGAAAUCUUUCCAUUUAUCUACAUUUCCACCAUCAUUUCCUUGGUCUGAACCAUCAUCUUUCACCUGGACCAACACUUCCUUUUUUGAAUCCCUGCAUCCACCACGCCUCACCCUUUUUAGUCUCAUCUGUAUACAGUAGCCAGAACUUUUUUCAAAAUACAAAGGGAAUCAUGUCAAUUCCCUACUUCAAACUGUUUAAGAACUCCCACUUAACUUUAGGAUUUAGAUCACAUUUAUUGUCAAGAAAGCCUGAAGUAGACUGUGCACUUGGCAAAGUGGCUUUGCAUGUUUUUUCCAGACUCACUUCUCUUCUUGGCCUGCAUCUGUAUGUUUCUAGCACAUGGACAUUUUUGUAGUUGCUGCAGUGUAUCCUGCCCCACCCUACUAUGGUUUCCAUGUGCUGUCACCCUUUCUCCAGUGCCUUUCUCUCCUGCUGCUCUCUGCCACAGGCUGGCUAACGUACACUUACCCUUCCACUCUCUGUGCAAGCCCACUACCAUAGCCCUCAGUCCAUCAGGGGCCUUUCCUUCAUCAUACUUACCUCCAUUGUAAUUUUACAUUCAUUUGUGUGCCUGACUGAGUUUUGUUUUCCUGAGUAGAGUAUGGGCAACAUGAAUGUGAGGACUUCAUUUGUUUAUUAUUGGUCUCCCCAGUGCCUACCACAGUGCCACCAGACACUCAAUGAAUGCUAGUAUGUUUGGUGAAUUCUUGAAUGAAUAAAUUAAAGCUGGGAUAUGCUUUAAUCCCCUUUACAGUCCAAGCCAUCAGUAAGCGUCUCCCAGAUAGCACUCUUACAUCAGUGGAACAGUACCCAGGACAGCAAGAGGAUUGCAAUCCCAGGAGACAAGUCACAGAAUGAAACUGAUAGCAGGAGUUCAAAGGAAAACAACUCAAGUGGUAGGUGAGCAGAGAACAUAUAUGGACUCCUCCCCCAACUUGCAAGACUCAGAAGUAUUAUGGGGCAGAAGAGCAAUGGGCUUCCCACCACAUGUCCAAUAGGGGCUUGAGCCAUUCUAUUAAAAUAUUAAAGAAAAAUAUGAUCCUAGAAUGCUGAGGAAUUUGGGGACAUAUAGGGGCAGAUCCUUGGGUUAACUGUAUUCAUUCAGUAAAAUUUGGGCAUUUCUGAUAUUCAAAGAAUUGUGCUAAAUUCUGUGAAAAGAUAAAUAAGACAGAACUUUUAAAUUAUUUAAAGGUUGGGGUGCCUGGGUGGCUCAGUCAGUUAAGUGUCUGACUUCAACUCAGGUCAUGAUCUCAUGGAUCAUGAGUUCAAGCCCUGCAUCGGGCUCUGUGCUGAAAGCUCAGAGCCUGGAGCCUGCUUCAGAUUCUGUGUCUCCCUCUCUCUCUGCCCCUCCCCUGCUCACACUCUGUCUCUCUCUCUCUCUCUCAAAAUUGAACAUUAAAAAAUUAUUUAAAGGUUAAAAGUGUUCAAGCAAGUUUCCUCAAUUACUUCUUGAAUCAUAAAAGUUGAAAGAAAUGCAUCACAAUAUAAAUAAUAUUAGAAAACCUUUAAAAUAGGAAGAUUAAAUGGAUAUGCUUGGGCAUCUGUGAUUUUUAGUUAUCUCAGCUGAAUAGUUUAUACUAAAAAAGAAAAAUGAGUAGAUAACUAUAAUAGGAGACAACAUGAGACAUAAGAAAGAUAAACAUUCAAUUAUAUAAACUGAAAAAUACAGUAAAAUGGUUAAGCACAGGGCUCUGCAGUCAGAUCUCAAAGCAAAUUUUCAUUCUGCUACUUAGUACUAUUUAAUCCUUAUGUUCCUCAGUGUCUUCAUUUUUAAUAUAAAAAGAUAAUGGUACCUACCUUGUUAUAUCUUUAUGAGGAUUAAGAAGGAUAAGACAUAAAGCAUGUUUGAUGGAGCAAAUACUAAACAAGUUCCAGCUUUUUUACCCUUAUCAUCAGCAUUAUCAAAAGAAUUCAGAGGAGGAAGCCAUGGCUUUUGGCUGGUACCAAAAAGAGGAAAAAAAGAAAAGAAAAAAAGGAUGCAGGAACAAAACAUGUAAGGUACGUCAUGAAUGAGAUGUACAAUUUUGACUUUUUGGAGUUAAAUGGGAAUUGGAGAGAAACCUUUCCAUAAAUUUCUUGUAUGACAAUCCUAGGUCUGCCAUAACAAAUUACCACAAAUUGAUCGCCUUAACAAAACAGAAAUCCAUUCUCUCCCAGUCCUUGAGUCCAAAAGAUCUUAAUCGUGUUGGCAAGGUGGGUUCCUCUGGAGGCUCUGGGGAAAACAUAUUGCAUGCCACUCUUAGCCUCCAAUGGCUGUGAGAAAUCCUUAGCAUUCCUUGGUUUAUAGACACAACACUCCCAUUUUCUCCAUCUUCAUGUGACCUUCUCUGUGUUUCUGAAUGUCUUCUAUUUUCCAUCUCUCAUUCAUAAGAACACAAGGACAUUGUCACCGGAUAUAAGGCCCACAUGACCAAGACAGCCUUAACUUUCCCCUCAGCUUGACUAAACCUUAGACAAGGCUUCUUACUGACCCUGGGUCCCUGACCAUACCUUUAAAAUACAAUCAAUCAAGAAAGAUAGUGCCCCUGUCCUCCAGUAUCUGUGAUAGGGUAGGAGCUUAACCUAGAAAUUGACAAUUAGCAAGCACAGAUGACCUCAUCACAUUGCCCCCCAACCCCCCCACCCCCGCUCCUCUAACAUCCUCCAGUACUUUUCCACUACCUCACUUCAGCACUAAAAAUCCUCCUGUCUUUUGUUUCAAGGGAGUCUAAUUCAAUCUCUCUUCUAUAUUGCAAGACUUGAAUAAAGUCUUCUUUGUCUGUUUAAUUUCCAGUGCAAUUUUUGACACAUCCUAAUUCAAGAUGACCUCAUCUUUAUCUUUAGUAAGGGAUCUUUAUCUUAGUUACCCAAAUAAAGUCACAUUGACAAGUAUGGAGUCUCGAAACUUAGACAUAUCUUUUGGAGGACACAAUUCAACCCACUACAAGUAACAAAGCAGAAGUACAGACAGGGAUGAAGGAAUCAAAGGACUCAUAUGAGAAGUACUUGGACUCAGAAGGAUGGAACCUAAAAUACACUUACGGGAACAGUGGGUGACUCAUUUAUUCACUCAUUCAUUCAUAUGUUCCACAUUUAUUGUGAGAGGCAAGUUAUUGUAAGGACUGGAAGAAAAAACAUUUUUUUUAAACUUGCAUACCAUGCUCUAGAAAUUCGAAGUUCAGAUGGGUUGCAGACAUGUAAACAGAAAUCUACAGUACACUGAAAAAAAAAAAAACUUCUAUAAAAUAGUAAAAUAGGGUUUUGUGGAGUACAGAGGUAGGAGGUAAGAGAAGAUUUCCUGAAUGAAUUAUGCAUGGUUGUCCCACUAGUAUGUUUAUGGACUGAGUAAAAGACACAUUUAGGACAUGUUCAGUUUUUUUAAUAUGUCAAAGAUGGGAAAUGUUCAGAGAUAUUUGCCAAAAUAGACAAAAAGAAAAAAUAAGGGAUAACACAGUUUUUUAAACAAAAUUGUGGUUUCUCGGGUUCCCAAGAUUUUCUGAGGAUAUACAAGUAUGGAGUGAACAUCCCAUCAUACAGGAGGUAUUCCCCAGAAACAUGUGGCAUGCCCAUGUCUCAGGCUUCUGUAAUCCUGCAUUUCACACUCUGACCUAUGAUUCAGUGUUGAAGUAUCAACUUAGCAGUUUUCUGUCAUCUGUAAAAAUGUCAAGAUUAAAAAAAAAAAAACAUAAAGGUUGAGGAAUGGUUCGAAACCAAAUGAGACAAGAGAGACAUGACAAUCAAAUGCAAUGUGUGAUUCUGGACUACAUCCUGGAGCGUGGGGGAAAAAAAUUGCUAUAGAAGAACUUUCAAAAAAAAUUGGACACAUUUGAAUAUGGACUGUGAAUUAUAGAUUCACUCAUCAGUGCAUUGUUGGUAAAAGCAAGAUGGGAUGUCAUGUACAACAUGGUGACUAUUGAUAACACUGCUAUGUAACACAUAGGAAAGUCAUUGGGCAAGUAUUCCCUAAGAGUUCUCAGCACCAGGGGAAAUUUUUUCUUUCUUCUUUUCUCCUUUCUGUUUACUUUAUCUAUAUGAGAAGAUGGAUGUUAACUGAGCCUAUUGUGGUAAUCAUGUCACAAAAUAUGUGAAUCAAACUACUGUGUUGUAUGUGUAAGUUUAAGACAGUGAUGUAUAAGUUUAAGACAUCCAAUUCGUCAUUAAAAAACCUGGCAGGGGGCGGGGGGAUACAAUAGGCUCUUGCAGAGCCAGACUUGGGUGGGACAGCACCACUUCCAAUCUGAAACAGCUAUAGAAAGAUCAGU